rfam:Salmo salar isolate Sally breed double haploid chromosome ssa11, whole genome shotgun sequence.
GGCAUUCACUACUGUAAGUCGCUCUGGAUAAGAGCGUCUGCUAAAUAAAUGACU